UGACGACUCGGGGGUGGAGGCCGGGCAGGACGACAGGAGGUGGGGAGCAAGAGAACUCCGGGAUGGGGAAGCAGGAGCCCCAGGGACGGGACACUCAGGGAGCAGUGGCCGUCUCCGGCAGCAGCAGGGUCCCGGCCAGCAGAGGCAGCGAAGCGGGGACCGAGGACGACCCCGGGUGCGCGGCGUCGGUGGUGCCGGCGUGGGGCGCCAGGUCGCAGGCCGUGUAGGGCUCCAGGCAGGCGGCGAAGGCCAUGACGUGCGCUACAAAGGUCUGCUCCUGCACGCCGUGAACCAGGCCUACCGAAGAUGGAGCUCCCUCGCAGGGGGUAGCCUCCGAAGGAGAAGACGUGGGAGUGGUCAGCAGUGACGAGGCUCAGCGUGUCCUCCUCGCUGGUGAGCUGGCCCGCCCUCUCAAUGGCGUCGUCGAACAUGAUCGUCUCAGUCAGUGCCCGGGUGAUAGAGGUCAGGAUAUGCGAUGGAGGUCUGUGACCUGGCCCUGACCCCGCAGCGGGCCCCAGCUCACCUGCUUUCUUGGCCCGAUUCAUCACGGAGAUGACCUCGUUGCCGCGUGUCGUGUUGCACUGGUUAAAGCGAGCGGCUGCACUCAAGCCGAUGGUCUGGAAGUUGCCCUUGACCCCGCACAGGAUCCGGGCAGCUGUCACCGUAGACACUCCCAUCCCUGAAGGAACAGAAAUGUGUGAGGCUUGGUCCCCAGGGUUGUCCUGGAACCACUGAGUGUCCGGGCGCCGGGGCUGUGAGGGCUGUGGCGCUGGACAGGCCUUGCUCACUCACCAUCGCCCAGGAAGAUGAUGAGGUUCUUGGCAGCUGUCUGUACGGGCUGCAGCUUCUUGGCAGCACCCAGGGCCUCGGCUGCCUGGCGGUUCCAGAAGUCCGGGUUCUCCUCCUCAACUGGCCAGGGGGAGAGCAAAGAUCAGGAAACAGAAGGACCAAGACGACCAAUCCUCUGAGAAUACACGCCACAGCCUGGGCCUCCUGUUGCCCCAGGUAACAGCAACCAAGAAUCCCAGGAAUGGAGGCUUUAGCUCUUCCUCCAGCCCGGGAAGACCUGCUGCUUCUGCUUUGAAAUCCCUGGACCUCAGAGGAAGGGCUGUAACCAGACAUUAUGACAGGCGACUCUGGCAUGAGGUUUUAAUGUUUGACAUAUCUCAAAAGGAAAGAAAGAAAAGGAAGGAACAAGCUUGCCGUUUGAUCCAGAUUAGAUGCAACUGUUCCAGCUGCAUUUUCCAUUUUCAUUUCAGCCAGUAUUUUUCAAAAUGUGACAUGCACAUAUUUCCAAAGGGCGGUACUGAAACAGGACAGGUCGUCAAGGAAGUGACCAUGUUCUUGGGAUGCAGCAAGCGUGGAGACCACACAGUCAACACAAUAAGCCUCAGCAUUCGAAUUGUAAUUGAGCUCAUUCACGCAAAGCUAUCUUCAGUGGGGACUUUUCUUUCUAGAGAGCAUGCGCAUUUUGAUUUUACCUAUCCUCAAACUUACGCUUUGCUCAUUAUAAUAGUAAAAAUCACACCCCGGGUGGAGAUUUAAGAAGCUAAUGAGACAUGCGACGUAUGAACCAGCAUGUACAGCUACUCACAUGUGCACCCAGAGGACCACCCAGAACAUGCUUACUAGCAACACCUCUUCCCAACCCCUCAUGAAUAAUCAUGUAAGAUUUCCAUAAAGGGAGUCUCCCUAAUGCCAACCUUUGCUGUCUCAUCUUUAUGAGCAGCCUGCCCUGAAUUCUUCUCUCUGCCUAUUCUGCACUUCACUUUCAAGAUAUUCUUUUUCUUUUGCAAUAAAUUAUCGUAUGCUGCGUC